GGGCCCGCACAAGCGGAGGAACAUGUGGUUUAAUUCGAUGAUACGCGAGGAACCUUACCCGGGCUCGAACGGUGUUUGAAUGUUUGUGAAAGCAGGCAGCCAGCAAUGGCAAACAUCGAGGUGCUGCAUGGUUGUCGUCAGCUCGUGCCGUGAGGUGUCGGCUUAAGUGCCAUAACGAGCGCAACCCUUACCGUUAGUUACCAUCAGGUCAAGCUGGGGACUCUAACGGGACUGCCGCCGUAAGGUGAGAGGAAGGUGGGGAUGACGUCAAAUCAGCACGGCCCUUACGUCCGGGGCUACACACGUGUUACAAUGGGUGGGACAGAAGGCUGCUACCUGGCAACAGGAUGCUAAUCCUUUAAAACCCACUCCCAGUUCGGAUCGAAGUCUGCAACCCGACUUCGUGAAGCUGGAUUCGCUAGUAAUCGCGCAUCAGCCAUGGCGCGGUGAAUACG
rnacentral:rRNA from 1 species